GGCGCCUGCGCAAUCUGCACGCACGCCUGCGCACUGCGCCUCUGAAGCCGCUGCCUCUGCCCUCACUUCAACGGCUGCCAGUUCCUGGGCGCUGCGGGGUCGUGGCUGGGGGAUACCACGCUGGCCCGAUAAUUACCAGAAACACUAAGUGGAGAGAGCAUUUCUGCAUGCCUGCUUAAAAGAAGAAGAUAAAGAAGAAAUAAAGAAUAAGGAUUGUGCUUGAAAAGAAAAAUCAAAAGAAAAUAAAAAUGUGAYCCACUCAAUAUCAAAGAGGGCAAGUCACUUGACCUUAGUUUCUUCAUCUGAAAACACAAGAGCCUGGGAGUUGUGCUUGAUUACCUGACUAAUAUCCAGCCACAGGAAUUGAAUGAAGAAUGGAAUUUCAUUUUUGGCUUCAUCACUACUGCGGCAAUGACAGAUGGGGAUCACAUGAAUUAGGUUAGUCCUUGCGCUUCAUUAACUGACAGAAAAAAAAAUCUAAAGGAUGCGAUGUUAAACUAAACUUUGAAACCCUUUUAGGAUAUCUUUAUUUUACAUAUUCUGUUGAUAAUAAAUUGAGCAAAGAUUUAUUUUUACUUUUGCAUUUGGAAUGUCAAUUGUGAUAUAAUCCUGUGUGUUCAAUUUAUCCAGUUACUCCAAAAUUGGUGCUGGAAGAAGGGGAAUGGAUAAAUUCACACUGGAUUACAACAUUUUUUUUCUGUACUUAUGUUUUA